rnacentral:tRNA from 1 species
CUGUUUCUGGUCGGUAGCUGCCUUCGGGAGGCAGGGGCCGGAGGUUCAAAUCCUCUCACCCCGACCA